AUUGAACGCUGGCGGCAUGCCUUACACAUGCAAGUCGAACGGCAGCACGGGAGCAAUCCUGGUGGCGAGUGGCGAACGGGUGAGUAAAGUAUCGGAACGUGCCCAGUCGUGGGGGAUAACGUAGCGAAAGUUACGCUAAUACCGCCUACGAUCUAUGGAUGAAAGCGGGGGAUCGCAAGACCUCGCGCGAUUGGAGCGGCCGAUAUCAGAUUAGGUAGUUGGGGGGGUAAAGGCUCACCAAGCCGACGAUCUGUAGCGGGUCUGAGAGGACGACCAGCCACACUGGGACUGAGACACGGCCCAGACUCGUACGGGAGGCAGCAGUGGGGAAUUUUGGACAAUGGGCGCAAGCCUGAUCCAGCCAUGCCGCGUGCAGGAUGAAGGCCUUCGGGUUGUAAACUGCUUUUGUCAGGGAAGAAAUCCCUUGGGAUAAUACCUCGGGGGGAUGACGGUACCUGAAGAAUAAGCACCGGCUAACUACGUGCCAGCCGCCGCAGUAA
rnacentral:rRNA from 1 species